rnacentral:pre_miRNA from 1 species
UCUUUAUGGAUGACUGAAGAAAGUGGUUUCUUGAGAUGGAAUCUAUUCCCGGUGAAGAUGCUGUGAA